AAAGGAAUAGACGGGGGCCCGCACAAGCAGUGGAGUAUGUGGUUUAAUUCGAAGCAACGCGAAGAACCUUACCAGGGCUUGACAUCCCUUGAUCGCGGCAGAGAUGCCGUUUCCCUUCGGGGCAAGGAGACAGGUGGUGCAUGGUUGUCGUCAGCUCGUGUCGUGAGAUGUUGGGUUAAGUCCCGCAACGAGCGCAACCCCUACCGUCAGUUGCCAGCAUUCAGUUGGGCACUCUGGCGGGACUGCCGUUGACAAAACGGAGGAAGGUGGGGAUGAGGUCAAAUCAUCAUGCCCCUUAUGUCCUGGGCUACACACGUACUACAAUGGCCGCAACAGAGGGCUGCGACAUCGCGAGAUGGAGCGAAUCCCCAAAUGCGGUCUCAGUUCGGAUUGCAGGCUGAAACCCGCCUGCAUGAAGUCGGAAUUGCUAGUAAUGGCAGGUCAGCAUACUGCCGUGAAUACGUUCCCGGGCCUUGUACACACCGCCCGU
rnacentral:rRNA from 1 species